GUCGGGGGUGGGCCGAGCGGGACGGGCCCGCCCUCUGGGUGAGGGCGGGCCCGUUGCCGUGGUUCGGGCGGACGCUCAGGCG
rnacentral:tRNA from 1 species